UAUACAUAUAAACAUCACAAAAUUAAAGAAGGAAGAGGUGACUAGGGGCUAUCCCACCAGGAGGACCCUACCGGAACUGAGUAAAUCUGGCUUUGGGGACCACCACACAAGGCGCCUGAAUUCCUUAAAGAAAAGAAGCAUAAAAGAUCAGUCUUAGGGAUUCUACACACAGAUGGACAGCUAUGAUGCCAGCGUAAUGAUCAGUGUGGACAUGAAGAAGAAUGGGAGAUUGAUUUGUGAGUCUGUGGGAGUGGGUAAAAAUAGACAGGAGUAUUAUUCAAUCCAUUUUCAUCCAUUUUUGAAGAAUGAUUUUCUUUUUCAAGACAAAUAUAAAAACUGGAAGUUUCAACUGUAAAUAACUAAAAACUAAU